UCUUGCCUAAUAUUUGUGGGAAAAUACCCCU
rnacentral:piRNA from 1 species